rnacentral:rRNA from 1 species
CCUACGGGUGGCAGCAGUGAGGAAUAUUGGUCAAUGGACGAGAGUCUGAACCAGCCAAGUAGCGUGAAGGAUGACUGCCCUAUGGGUUGUAAACUUCUUUUAUAUGGGAAUAAAAUGUUCCACGUGUGGGAUUUUGUAUGUACCAUAUGACUAGGGAUCGGCUAACUCCGUGCCAGCAGCCGCGGUAAUACGGAGGAUCCGAGCGUUAUCCGGAUUUAUUGGGUUUAAAGGGAGCUUAGGUGGAUUGUUAAGUCAGUUGUGAAAGUUUGCGGCUCAACCGUAAAAUUGCAGUUGAAACUGGCAGUCUUGAGUACAGUAGAGGUGGGCGGAAUUCGUGGUGUAGCGGUGAAAUGCUUAGAUAUCACGAAGAACUCCGAUUGCGAAGGCAGUUCACUGGACUGCAACUGACACUGAGGCUCGAAAGUGUGGGUAUCAAACAGGAUUAGAUACCCCAGUAGUC